UACAGAGGUCCCAAGCGUUGUUCGGAUUCAUUGGGCGUAAAGGGUGCGUAGGCGGCGCGGUAAGUCGGGUGUGAAAUCUCGGGGCUUAACUCCGAAACUGCAUUCGAUACUGCCGUGCUUGAGGACUGGAGAGGAGACUGGAAUUUACGGUGUAGCGGUGAAAUGCGUAGAUAUCGAGAGGAACACCAGUGGCGAAGGCGGCUGCCUGGGCCUGGCCUGACGCUGAGGCGCGAAAGCGUGGGGAGCGAUCCGG
rnacentral:rRNA from 1 species